rnacentral:rRNA from 1 species
CAAUAGCGUAUAUUAAAGUUGUUGCAGUUAAAAAGCUCGUAGUUGGAUUUCGGGUAGGAUUUGCCGGUCCGUCUUUGAGAUGUGUACUGGUAAGUCCUAUCUUCUUGUCGGGGACCAGCUCCUGGGCUUCACUGUCCGGGACUGGGAGCCGACGAAGUUACUUUGAGUAAAUUAGAGUGUUCAAAGCAGGCCUACGCUCUGAAUACAUUAGCAUGGAAUAACACGAUAGGACUCUGGCCUAUCUUGUUGGUCUGUAGGACCGGAGUAAUGAUUAAGAGGGACAGUCGGGGGCAUUCGUAUUUCAUUGUCAGAGGUGAAAUUCUUGGAUUUAUGAAAGACGAACUACUGCGAAAGCAUUUGCCAAGGAUGUUUUCAUUAA